AUUGAACGCUGGCGGCAGGCCUAACACAUGCAAGUCGAACGGUAACAGAAAGCAGCUUGCUGCUUUGCUGACGAGUGGCGGACGGGUGAGUAAUGUCUGGGAAACUGCCUGAUGGAGGGGGAUAACUACUGGAAACGGUAGCUAAUACCGCAUAACGUCGCAAGACCAAAGAGGGGGACCUUCGGGCCUCUUGCCAUCGGAUGUGCCCAGAUGGGAUUAGCUAGUAGGUGGGGUAACGGCUCACCUAGGCGACGAUCCCUAGCUGGUCUGAGAGGAUGACCAGCCACACUGGAACUGAGACACGGUCCAGACUCCUACGGGAGGCAGCAGUGGGGAAUAUUGCACAAUGGGCGCAAGCCUGAUGCAGCCAUGCCGCGUGUAUGAAGAAGGCCUUCGGGUUGUAAAGUACUUUCAGCGAGGAGGAAGGCGUUGUGGUUAAUAGCCACAGCAAUUGACGUUACUCGCAGAAGAAGCACCGGCUAACUCCGUGCCAGCCGCCGCCGUAA
rnacentral:rRNA from 1 species